UACAGAGGGGGCUAGCGUUGCUCGGAAUCACUGGGCGUAAAGCGCACGUAGGCGGAUUGCUAAGUCAGGGGUGAAAUCCUGGAGCUCAACUCCAGAACUGCCUUUGAUACUGGCGACCUCGAGUCCGGGAGAGGUGAGUGGAACUGCGAGUGUAGAGGUGAAAUUCGUAGAUAUUCGCAAGAACACCAGUGGCGAAGGCGGCUCACUGGCCCGGUACUGACGCUGAGGUGCGAAAGCGUGGGGAGCAAACAGG
rnacentral:rRNA from 1 species